rnacentral:rRNA from 1 species
UACGGAAGGCAGCAGGGGGAAUAUUGCACAAUGGGCGCAAGCCUGAUGCAGCCAUGCCGCGUGUAUGAAGAAGGCCUUCGGGUUGUAAAGUACUUUCAGUCGUGAGGAAGGUGUUAAGGUUAAUAACCUUAGCAAUUGACGUUAGCGACAGAAGAAGCACCGGCUAACUCCGUGCCAGCAGCCGCGGUAAUACGGAGGGUGCGAGCGUUAAUCGGAAUUACUGGGCGUAAAGGGCACGCAGGCGGUUAAUUAAGUUGGAUGUGAAAUCCCCGGGCUUAACCUGGGAAUGGCAUUCAAGACUGGUUAGCUAGAGUCUUGUAGAGGGGGUUAGAAUUCCAUGUGUAGCGGUGAAAUGCGUAGAGAUGUGGAGGAAUACCGGUGGCGAAGGCGGCCCCCUGGACAAAGACUGACGCUCAUGUGCGAAAGCUGGGGAGCAAACAGGGAUUAGAUACC